rnacentral:rRNA from 1 species
UACGUAGGGUGCGAGCGUUGUCCGGAAUUACUGGGCGUAAAGAGCUCGUAGGCGGCUUGUCGCGUUGUACGUGAAAAUUUACAGCUCAACUGUGAACUUGCGGGCGAUACGGGCAGGCUAGAGUACUGCAGGGGAGACUGGAAUUCCUGGUGUAGCGGUGAAAUGCGCAGAUAUCAGGAGGAACACCGGUGGCGAAGGCGGGUCUCUGGGCAGUAACUGACGCUGAGGAGCGAAAGCGUGGGGAGCGAACAGG